rnacentral:misc_RNA from 1 species
GGAGUAAAAGUCGUAACAAGGUUUCCGUAGGUGAACCUGCGGAAGGAUCAUUAUUGGAUUUUGAAACUUCAGGCUGCUGCUGGCUCACCUCGGAGGGCAUGUGCACGCUUGUUGUCCAUUAUUUCUCCCACUGUGCACAAAUUGUAGACCUUUCAGUAGGCCUAUGUUGUUUUUCACAAUCUCUGAAUGUAAUAGAAUGGUUUUGAAUCUUGGGAAAUACAAUACAACUUUCAGCAACGGAUCUCUUGGCUCUU